UCGAACGGCAGCACAAUCAAGCUUGCUUGAUGGGUGGCGAGUGGCGAACGGGUGAGUAAUGCGUAGGAAUAUACCUUAGAGUGGGGGAUAACUUGGGGAAACUCAAGCUAAUACCGCAUGAAGUCGAAAGACGAAAGCUGGGGACCUUUUGGCCUGGCGCUUUAAGAUUAGCCUACGUCCGAUUAGCUAGUUGGUGGGGUAAAGGCCUACCAAGGCGACGAUCGGUAGCUGGUCUGAGAGGAUGAUCAGCCACAAUGGGACUGAGACACGGCCCAUACUCCUACGGGAGGCAGCAGUGGGGAAUAUUGGACAAUGGGGGCAACCCUGAUCCAGCCAUGCCGCGUGAGUGAUGAAGGCCUUCGGGUUGUAAAGCUCUUUUGGCGGGGACGAUGAUGACGGUACCCGCAGAAUAAGCCCCGGCUAACUUCGUGCCAGCAGCCGCGGUAAU
rnacentral:rRNA from 1 species